UUUAACUAUUAUAUAGUUCUCAGACGAUACAAAAUUCAGAGUUUAGGGUCCUCUGGCAGGCACUCACUAGCUAAAAGCCAGUGGCUGAAGCGGCCCGCCAAAGCAACAAUGGUAAGAUAUUCAAGGGUGGGAGAUCUACCCGUAAGGGCAUGAACUCUGUAAUGAUCCUUCCGCAGGUUCACCUACGGAAA
rnacentral:misc_RNA from 1 species